rnacentral:rRNA from 1 species
UACGUAGGGACCGAGCGUUGUCCGGAAUCAUUGGGCGUAAAGAGCGUGUAGGCGGCCUUUUAAGUCCUGCGUGAAAUCCUGCGGCUCAACCGCAGACGGUCGUGGGAAACUGGAAGGCUAGAGUGCGGGAGAGGAGAGUGGAAUUCCCGGUGUAGCGGUGAAAUGCGCAGAUAUCGGGAGGAACACCAAUUGCGAAGGCAGCUCGCUGGGACGUCACUGACGCUGAGACGCGAAAGCGUGGGGAGCAAACAGG